AUUGAACGCUGGCGGCAAGCCUCACACAUGCACGUCGAACGAGUGGCGGACGGGUGAGUAAUGUCUGGGAAACUGCCUGAUGGAGGGGGAUAACUACUGGAAACGGUAGCUAAUACCGCAUCACCUAGGAUGUCCCCAGAUGGGAUUAGCUAUUCGGGUGGGUAACGGCUCACCUAUGCGACGAUCCCUAGCUGGUCUUAGAGGAUGACCAGCCACCCUGGAACUGAGAUACGUUCCAGACUCCUACGGGAGGCAGCAGUGGGGAAUAUUGCACAAUGGGCGCAAGCCUGAUGCAGCCAUGCCGCGUGUAUGAAGAAGGCCUUCGGGUUGUAAAGUACUUUCAGCGGGGAGGCUUUACCCGCAGAAGAAGCACCGGCUAACUCCGUGCCAGCAGCCGCGGUAAUUC
rnacentral:rRNA from 1 species